GGCUUAGAGUUUGAUCAUGGCUCAGGAUAAACGCUGGCGGCGCACAUAAGACAUGCAAGUCGAACGAACUUAACCUCAAUGUUUACAUUUAGGAGCGGUUAGUGGCGGACUGGUGAGUAACACGUAAGUAAUCUGCCUAUCAGAGGGGAAUAACAAUGAGAAAUCAUUGCUAAUACCGCAUAUGCUGUAAGGUUCGCAUGAACCAAGCAGGAAAGGAGCAAUCCACUGAUAGAUGAGCUUGCGUCUGAUUAGCUAGUUGGUGUGGUAACGGCAUACCAAGGCAACGAUCGGUAGCCGAGCUGAGAGGCUCAACGGCCACAUUGGGACUGAGAUACGGCCCAGACUCCUACGGGAGGCAGCAGUCGGGAAUAUUGCACAAUGGAGGAAACUCUGAUGCAGUGACGCCGCGUGCAGGAAGAAGGUUUUCGGAUUGUAAACUGCUUUAGACAGGGAAGAAGAAAGACAGUACCUGUAGAAUAAGCUCCGGCUAACUACGUGCCAGCAGCCGCGGUAAUACGUAGGGAGCGAGCGUUAUCCGGAUUUAUUGGGUGUAAAGGGUGCGUAGACGGGAAAGUAAGUUGGUUUUGAAAGCCCUUGGCUUAACUGAGGAAUUGGAACCAAAACUAUUUUUCUUGAGUGCAGGAGAGGAAAGUG
rnacentral:rRNA from 1 species